rnacentral:tRNA from 2 species
GUCGGAGUGGCGAAACUGGCAGACGCGCCGGCCUUAGGAGCCGGUGGGGAAACCCUUGAGAGUUCAAAUCUCUCCUCCGACA